UAGAAAGUCAUGCUUGAGGUUAAAUCUAUGCGGUUAUGUGGCAAAUUUGGAAUCUUUGUUUAACUUCCGGUUCUAGAUAACCUAAAGUAAAACUAAUUAAAACAUUCGUGAUCUCAUUCACCGAUUGAGUACACGGUGGGGAUAGGUCUGACGUAAGUAGGUGGUUAGGAUCAUUCAUUUGAUCAUCAUUAAUUCACGUCCGUUAUGCGUAGAUCAUCCCCCUCUUUUAUUCUUGUACCCGUAAGUUAGCCACCUCAAAUAAAUGCUUAGUCGCUUGCUGCAGCCUCACGACUUAACCAUACCUCACCCAUUAAGCUUUGUUAGUCUUGAUACCUUUGGGAAUGAGAUUGCUGAGUCCGUGUGGCUCACAGAUUACACCAACACCAGUUGCAGGUACAAGUAAAGUGAUGUUAAGAUGUGAGCGCGAUGUUUGUGCUAUUGGAGUUUAUUCUUCUUCUUCAUCUAUCUAGGUCAGGUUCCAGGCAAGUAGUCUGGGAUAGCAAGGAUGGACAUCGUUCUUUUAUCAUUUGGUUCUGUCCGUAGUCGCAGCCUGCUCUUCUUCAUGAUAACUGUAUAUUGUUGUAUUGAUGUGAUAUUGAUGUUGCUUGUGGCGAGUGUAAGGAAAUUCCAUAAACUCAUCUCUUGAGUACAUGCACUUGCAACCAUAUCCAUUCUUGCGAAACGACGAGAUGCGUUUCUAUCCCUGUUGAGGCCCUUGCACCAAAAGAAGGAUAGGAUCGCAUCUUGGGCGUUACACCCAUAACCACUACAAGCGUUUUAGGAGCGUUCAUUUAUGGAACAUAACACCGGUAAACGAAAUUAAGGCGACAAGGAUGGAACAAAACACCAGGCUAGUAGGUCAGGCCUUCCACCUUUUACCAAGUAUAUAGGUGCAUUAAAUUAAAUAGGAACAAUAAGGUGAUAUAACAAGGAACCCAUGUUUCCGCAUGGAAGCAACUGCACCUGCAACUAGAAACGCUACCGAAAGGCUGAGCCAGCGAUAACAUAGCCAAACAGUGGUUGCUGGGUUGUGGAAAGGUUUGAGCCUAUUCAUGGCAAAGUUUGGAGGCUUAUUUAAAUUGGUGCUAGGAACCGAGAAAUAGAGAAAGAAACGAGACAACUAGCAUGGCAAUGAUAGUAAUGAUAUCGUGUGAAAUGGUCAUCUUGCCUGUGAUCCCGCUUGGAGGAAGAACGAAUCCAUGAAGCAGACGAACCAACGUAGUCGAACGAAUCCUCACAUUUUGACACGCUUGCGGAACU
rnacentral:lncRNA from 1 species